GCCAGUGUGGUGUAGUGGUUUGAGGGUUGGACUAGGAGUCUGGAGAGCAGGGUUCAAAUCCCGGCUCGGGCA